rnacentral:rRNA from 1 species
AACGAACGCUGGCGGCAGGCUUAACACAUGCAAGUCGAACGGUUGUAGCAAUACAGCAGUGGCAGACGGGUGAGUAACACGUGGGAACCUUCCUAGGGGUACGGAACAACUCAGGGAAACUUGAGCUAAUACCGUAUACGUCCGUGAGGAGAAAGAUUUAUCGCCCCUAGACGGGCCCGCGUAGGAUUAGGUAGUCGGUGAGGUAACGGCUCACCAAGCCUACGAUCCUUAGCUGAUCUGAGAGGAUGAUCAGCCACACUGGGACUGAGACACGGCCCAGACUCCUACGGGAGGCAGCAGUGGGGAAUCUUGGACAAUGGGCGCAAGCCUGAUCCAGCCAUGCCGCGUGAGUGAAGAAGGCCUUCGGGUUGUAAAGCUCUUUUACCAGGGACGAUAAUGACGGUACCUGGAGAAUAAGCCCCGGCAAACUUCGUGCCAGCAGCCGCCGUAA